UUAAGUAAUGAAAGAGGUUUGUAAGGAUACCUAGCAGAUAUACUUGAAAGGAAGUAAAUCUUUAAGUAAUAGUAAGAAAUUUGUAAACUAUUACAAUCCUAAGGAAAACCAAUAAAAUAGAUUACGCUGGGAACUAAAACAUUUCAGUACCAGUAGGAAAGGAAAUCUAAUGAGACUUCUGUAGUAAUGGUGAGUGAAACAGAAUCAGCCUAUUAUUCAUAUUGUAAAUAUAUUUUUUAAUAGUAAAAUAUUGUGGAAUUCAAUAUAUUUAUUAUACUACUAUACUAUGUAUAGUAGUAUAAUAUACCAAAGAUGGUGAAAGUCCAGACUACUAUUUUCUUGCAUUCAAGAAAUAGAUAUAUUUACAUACAUGUAUGAGUAAACAAAGUAAUAUGAAGACGGCAGCUUUGUAUGAAAUAUGGGGAUACCAUUCUCCAAGGCUAAGUAUAGUAUAUCUAGCGAUAGUGAAGAGUAACGUGAGUGAAAGGUGAAAAGUAAGUGUAUGACUGGUGAAAUAGAUCUUGAAUUACAAGCCUUACAAGCAGUUAGAGUUCUAUAGAAUAGAAUGAUAACGUACCUUUUGCAUAAUGGGUCAGCAAGUUAAUUAUAAAUGCAAGAUGAUGAAUCUUAGCGAAAGCGAUUGGCAUAACUGAGGAAAGUAUUUAUAAUUAGAUCCGAAACCAGAUGAUCUUUUUAUGGCCAGGUUUUAAGGGACCGAACAGCAAAAUGUUGCAAUAUUUUCUGAUGAGCUGUGAAAAGGGGUGAAAUGCUAAUCUAAUCUGGUGAUAGCUGAUAUUCUGCGAAAUCUAUUUUAGUAGAAAGUUUAUAUAUAGAAGAUUCUUUGUAUAGCACUGAUUUCCAUUUCCAAUAGAUUUACGGAUCUAUUGAUGUAGAAUAAAUUAGGGGAUUAUGAAAUCCUACUAUUGGAAGUUAACCUCAGAAGAAGAAUAUCUUGAUCAGAAACUGACAGUCUAUUUGUGAUAAGGUAAAUAGACAAAAGGGAAACAGCCCAGAUCAUAAAUUAAGGUCCCUAAUAAAUAUUUAGUGAACAUAAGAAGGUCUUUUAUCUAAUACAACUACAAAGUAAGCUUGGAAGUAGCUAUCUUUUAAUGAAAGUGUAACAACUCAAUAGUCUAAUGGAUAAAAGGCAUCGAAGAUUAACGGGUCUGAAAUAUUUAACCUACAUUAUGAUAUGUAUACAUUUCUAUUUCUAAUAUAGAAAUGUAUAUGUAGGUAGCAGAACACUUAGUAUGAGAGUGAAGAAGUGUAUAAAUACAUUUUGGACUAUACUAAAGAGAGAAUGCUGGCAUGAGUAACGAUUAAGAAGUUAAAAUACUUCUCGCCGAACACGAAAGGGUUUUAUGGAAAAGGUAGUCUGCCAUAAUUUAUACGGUUUCUAAGGAAAAUAAACGAAUUGUUAUUUUCUGAUGAAGAAUAGAAAUCAUAGAGAAAGAAUCUUUCUUCUAGAAAAAGAUUUCUACUAUAAAUAGUAACCGUACCUGAAACCGACACAGGUUCGUGGGUAGAGUAUACUAAGGCGUAGAGAUAAGGCUAGUGAAGGAACUCGGCAAAAUGCUUCCGUAAGUUCGACGAUAAGGAAGGGUCUGGUUAAUAAUUAACUAGGCUCGCAGAGAAGUGGGGGCUUCGACUGUUUACUAAAAACAUAGCAACUUGCUAAGACGAAAAGUACUUGUAUAAGUUGUGAACUCUGUCCAAUGCCAUUUGUUUAAGGAAGGGAAUCUUCUUCCGGGAAGUGUUCCUGACUGAUGCGGUGGUGAAUGACGGUCUUAACUAUAAGGAUCUGAAAGUAGCGAAAUUCCUUGGCCAUUAAAUGUGGUCCUGCAUGAAUGAGGUAACGCGGCCCUGCUGUCUCCACUAGCUUCUCAGUGAAAUUGAAUUAGCCGUGCAGAUGCGGUUUGCCUUCCGGAGGACGCGAAGACCCUAUGCAGCUU
rnacentral:rRNA from 1 species